AGUACUUUCCUUUUGUAUGAUGUAGAUGCCAAUAAUUCGCUCUUCAGUUUUGUAGCGAAAAUAGUACCCGAAGUUUAUAGAUCUUUAUUCCUUCUUGUCGAUGAGACGAGGACUGAUUUCUACACAUAUAUUUACUGCAGAUCUGGAAAUAGGUUUAAAGGAAAGAUUUAGAAGUAACUGUGGUGAUCCAGGACGCUUUCAAGAUUACAAGUUCAGUAGUGGCAACUUGAACUUAUGUAAGAAUAAACAGGGUGAUUUUUCAUUCUGAAGAGUUUCCUAACUGUUGACUUUAAGCCUUCAUAGUUACAUCGUGGGAUUAUGAAUAAGAUGGUGCUAAUUAUAUUUUGA